UACGUAGGGGGCAAGCGUUGUCCGGAUUUAUUGGGCGUAAAGAGCGUGUAGGCGGUUUGGUAGGUCCGCUGUGAAAACUCGAGGCUCAACCUCGAGACGCCGGUGGAAACCAUCAGACUAGAGUCCGGAAGAGGAGAGUGGAAUUCCUGGUGUAGCGGUGAAAUGCGCAGGUAUCAGGAGGAACACCGGUGGUGUAGACGGCUUUCUGGACCGUAACUGACGCUGAAGCGCGAAAGCGUGGGGAGCAAACGGG
rnacentral:rRNA from 1 species